rnacentral:lncRNA from 1 species
AAAAAUUGUCCGGGCAUGGUGGCAGGCACCUAUAAUCCCAGGCAUUCAUCAAAUAGCAUUUUGAUGGGUUUAAAUCAUUUUCCUUGGCCAUUACUGAAGAAGACUGGAGGAUUUAUACUCUCUACAUUGGCCUUCAAAGUGGACAAGUCUUAGGUAGACAAUUGGAGAGGAGAAAAUAAGAACCAUAUUCAAACCUAACAAGCUAAUUCAGGGCAGAUAAAUGGUCUGUAUUAGAAACUUCCACUUGGACUUUCCUAAGAAACCGAAGGGUGAAAUUAUGAAACUAGUGGCAGCCUUACAAAAACAUUUUUUAGGAAGAGUGACAAGAUAUCUUGGGAACUCCUAAGAAUCACUCUGAGGAGUGUUGCUUUCAUAAUGGGGAGCCCGAAAGACCCUGUCAGUAGCAGUGGAGUCACUGGGUGUUCCUGUGUUGAGAAGGCGGUGUGGUAUGUCACAGGGGAGACUCUCCAACUCGUCACUGUGGACCAUGAGAACAGAAGCACCUCUCUCAAGUACCGGAGUUGGAGCCACCUGGGUCUGACUCUUACCUCAGUCAUGGCCCAGCUCUUGAAGUCACAGUCUCCUCAGUGCAAACAGGGAUGAAUCCCUGAGCCUCACAGAUCUUUGUGAGAUGAUUUUCAGCCCUAUAUGAACAGGCCUAACAUGUUUCUAACUCUGUAAGUGCUUACUAUACUGCUAUACUUCUGCUAUGACUAGACAAGACCAUUGCAGAACACAGGAACCGAUCAUUCUAUAGAAACCAAGCAUCUAGUGUGCUAUGCUGUGUCUGGGCCACCUCAAGAAAGCUCUAAGCAUAGGCAGCAUGAGGCAUUCCAGAGAUGACAUGUGAGCAGCAGUGAAGGAGAGAGGCUUCCGUGUGAAGGUGGCCUGAGCCAACCUAGAUUCUUCAGUCUGAAAAGACACAUAGAGAAUGUGACAGAAUCUGUAAAAUAAUAAAGAAAAUGGUGGAGGUAAA